GAUGAACGCUGGCGGCGUGCCUAAUACAUGCAAGUCGAGCGAACAGACGAGGAGCUUGCUCCUCUGACGUUAGCGGCGGACGGGUGAGUAACACGUGGAUAACCUACCUAUAAGACUGGGAUAACUUCGGGAAACCGGAGUUAAUACCGGAUAAUAUAUUGAACCGCAUGGUUCAAUAGUGAAAGACGGUUUUGCUGUCACUUAUAGAUGGAUCCGCGCCGCAUUAGCUAGUUGGUAAGGUAACGGCUUACCAAGGCAACGAUGCGUAGCCGACCUGAGAGGGUGAUCGGCCACACUGGAACUGAGACACGGUCCAGACUCCUACGGGAGGCAGCAGUAGGGAAUCUUCCGCAAUGGGCGAAAGCCUGACGGAGCAACGCCGCGUGAGUGAUGAAGGUCUUCGGAUCGUAAAACUCUGUUAUUAGGGAAGAACAAAUGUGUAAGUAGCUAUGCACGUCUUGACGGUACCUAAUCAGAAAGCCACGGCUAACUACGUG
rnacentral:rRNA from 1 species